GACGAACGCUGGCGGCGUGCUUAACACAUGCAAGUCGAACGAAGUGGCGAACGGGUGAGUAACGCGUAAUCCACCUGCCCUUCAGAGGGGAACAACAGUCGGAAACGACUGCUAAUACCGCAUACUGAAGGAGGGGAUUUCGUCUGUUUAGCUAGGUGGAGGGGUAACGGCCCAUCAAGGCGAUGCACAGUAGCCGGUCUGAGAGGAAGAACGGCCACAAUGGGACUGGGGCACGGCCCAGACUCCUACGGGAGGGAGCAAUGGGGAAUCUUCCGACAUGGACGAAAGUCUGACGGCGCAACGCCGCGGUAGUGGUGACGGCCUUCGGGUUGUAAAGCUCUGUUAAGCGGGACGUGGUACCUGAAUAGAAAGCAACGGCUAACUACGUGCCAGCAGCCGCGGUAAUAC
rnacentral:rRNA from 1 species